rnacentral:rRNA from 1 species
AUUGAACGCUGGCGGCAGGCUUAACACAUGCAAGUCGAGCGGGGUGAUGGUGCUUGCACUAUCACUUAGCGGCGGACGGGUGAGUAAUGCUUAGGAAUCUGCCUAUUAGUGGGGGACAACAUCUCGAAAGGGAUGCUAAUACCGCAUACGUCCUACGGGAGAAAGCAGGGGAUCACUUGUGACCUUGCGCUAAUAGAUGAGCCUAAGUCGGAUUAGCUAGUUGGUGGGGUAAAGGCCUACCAAGGCGACGAUCUGUAGCGGGUCUGAGAGGAUGAGCCGCCACACUGGGACAGAGCCACGGCCCAGACUCCUACGGGAGGCAGCAGUGGAGAAUAUUGGACAAUGGGGGGAACCCUGAUCCAGCCAUGCCGCGUGUGUGAAGAAGGCCUUAUGGUUGUAAAGCACUUUAAGCGAGGAGGAGGCUCUUUUGGUUAAUACCCAAGAUGAGUGGACGUUACUCGCAGAAUAAGCACCGGCUAACUCUGUGCCAGCCGCCGCGGUAACAC